GCGCGAAAACUUUACCAUGCGGGCAACCGUGAUAAGGAAACCCCGAGUGCCAGCACAGGCUGGCUGUCCGCCAGUUUAAAUAACUGGUGAAGAAAGGGCCGGGCAAGACCGGUGCCAGCCGCCGCGGUAAUACCGGCGGCUCGAGUGGUGGCCGCUAUUACUGGGCUUAAAGGGUCCGUAGCUUGAUAACUGGGUCCCUUGAGAAAUCCGCCAGCUUAACUGGCGGGCGUUCAGGGGAAACUUGUUUUCUAGGGACCGGGAGAGGUGAGGGGUACUGCCGGGGUAGGAGUGAAAUCCUGUAAUCCCGGUGGGACCACCUAUGGCGAAGGCAUCUCACCAGAACGGGUCCGACAGUGAGGGACGAAAGCUGGGGGAGCAAACCGG
rnacentral:rRNA from 1 species